rnacentral:rRNA from 1 species
GACGAACGCUGGCGGCGUGCUUAACACAUGCAAGUGGAGCGACGAAACCGGGCUUGCCCGGUGGCAGAGCCGCGAACGGGUGAGUAACACGUGGGUAACCCGCCCCGAUGAUUGGGACAACUCCGGGAAACCGGAGCUAAUACCAAAUGUGUUCACAUUCCUGAAGGGGUGUGAGGAAAGGAAGCUUCGGCCUCCGCAUCGGGAUGGGCCCGCGGCCCAUUAGCUUGUUGGUGGGGUAACGGCCUACCAAGGCGACGAUGGGUAGCUGGUCUGGGAGGACGAUCAGCCACACUGGGACUGGGACACGGCCCAGACUCCUACGGGAGGCAGCAGUGGGGAAUCUUGCGCAACGCGCGAAAGCGUGACGCAGCAACGCCGCGUGCGGGAAGACGGCCUUCGGGUUGUAAACCGCUUUCAGUUGGGACGAAGCUUCGCCGGUGAAUAGCCGGCUGGAGUGACGGUACCUUCACAAGAAGCACCAGCUAACUACGUGCCAGCAGCCGCCGUAA